GACGAACGCUGGCGGCGUGCUUAACACAUGCAAGUCGAACGGAAAGGCCCUGCUUUUGUUGGGUGCUCGAGUGGCGAACGGGUGAGUAACACGUGAGUAACCUGCCCUUGACUGUGGGAUAACUUCAGGAAACUGGGGCUAAUACCGGAUAGGAGCUCCUGCUGCAUGGUGGGGGUUGGAAAGUUUCGGCGGUUGGGGAUGGACUCGCGGCUUAUCAGCUUGUUGGUGGGGUAGUGGUUUACCAAGGCUUUGACGGGUAGCCGGCCUGAGAGGGUGACCGGCCACAUGGGGCCUGAGAAGCGGCCCAGACUGCAACGGGAGGAAGCAGCGGGGAAUAUUGCAAAAUGGGCGGAAGCCUGAUGGAGCAACGCCGCGUGCGGGAUAACGGCCGUCGGGUUGUAAACCGAUUUCGACUGUGACGAAGCGUAAGUGACGGUAAUGGGUAAAGAAGGACCGGCUAACUACGUG
rnacentral:rRNA from 1 species